CUCUUCUAUGCUGCCGGGUUGGGAUCGGCCCGCGUCCCAUUAGCUAGUUGGUGAGGUAACGGCUCACCAAGGCCACGAUGGGUAGCCGGCCUGAGAGGGUGUACGGCCACACUGGCACUGAGACAAGGGCCAGUCCCCUAUGGGAGGCGCAGGCGGGAAUAGUUCACAAUGGGCGAAAGCCUGAUGACGCGACGCCGCGUGAGCGAAGAAGACCUUCGGGUUGUAAAGCUCUGUCAGGAGGGAAGAAGGCUCUACGGGUCAAUAGCCCGUGGGAUUGACGGUACCUCCAGAGGAAGCCCCGGCUAAAUACGUGCCAGCAGCCGCGGUAAUACGUAUGGGGCAAGCGUUGUCCGGAUUUACUGGGCGUAAAGGGCGCGUAGGCGGUUUGUUAAGUCGAAGGUGAAAUCCUCGGGCUCAACUCGAGAAUUGCCUUCGAUACUGGCAAACUAGAGUGGCGGAGAGGAAAGCGGAACUCUUGGUGUAACGGUGGAAUGUGUAGAUAUCAAGAGGAACACCGGUGGCGAAGGCGGCUUUCCGGACGCACACUGACGCUCAGGCGCGAAAGCGUGGGUAGCAAACAGGAUUAGAUACCCUGGUAGUCCACGCCAUAAACGAUGGGUACUAGGUGUCGGGGGUAUCGACCCCUCCGGUGCCGCAGUUAACGCACUAAGUACCCCGCCUGGGGAUUAUGGUCGCAAGGCUGAAACUCAAAGGAAUUGACGGGGCCCCGCACAAGCGGUGGAGCAUGUGGUUUAAUUCGACGCAACGCGAAGAACCUUACCUGGGCUUGACAUGCUUGGGACAGCGCUGGAAACAGCGUCUCUCCUUCGGGAGCCCUUGCACAGGUGCUGCAUGGCUGUCGUCAGCUCGUGUCGUGAGAUGUUGGGUUAAGUCCCGCAACGAGCGCAACCCUCGUUACUAGUUGCCAUCAGUUCGGCUGGGCACUCUAGUGAGACUGCCGGUGAUAAACCGGAGGAAGGUGAGGAUGAUGUCAAGUCAUCAUGGCCCUUACGCCCAGGGCUACACACGUGCUACAAUGGUCGGCACAAAGGGUCGCUAAGCCGCGAGGUGGAGCUAAUCCCAAAAAGCCGGCCUCAGUUCGGAUUGGAGUCUGCAACCCGACUCCAUGAAGGCGGAAUCGCUAGUAAUCGCGGAUCAGCAUGCCGCGGUGA
rnacentral:rRNA from 1 species